CUGAGGAAAAGCAGCAGCGAAGAGGGGAGGACCAGGGGAUGGGAGGAGGAGGAGGAGCUGGGGACACAGAGACAGAGGGACGGACAUCCGGGAUGAGGCAGAGACCCAGACUGGAGGAGGCACAGGAAGCAGGUGGACAGAGUUGAUCAGACAGAGAUGUGACCUCACUCUCCUUCAGGCUUCUAAGGGAGCUCACUAAGUUGCUGAGGCUGGCCUUGAACUUGCAAUCCUCCUGCCUCAGCCUCCUGAGUUGCUGGGAUGACAGGCGUGGGUCACUGUGUCUGGCUACGUAGGAUAAUUUCCGACAGCAUCUUGUGAGGAGGAAAAUCAGCAGGGCAGCGAUGGGAACCCAGGGCUCUAUGCAUGCUUGGCAAGUGCUCUACCACCGAGCUGCACCCAGUCCCUCCUUGCUUAUAUUUAAAAUGGAAGAAUGAACUUCAAAAUUUAAGAGAAAAAAAAAAAGAAAUAGGAUAAAAGGAACAGGCUUAUGGAGGC